AUUGAACGCUGGCGGCAUGCCUUACACAUGCAAGUCGAACGGCAGCGGGGGAGAAGCUUGCUUUUCCUGCCGGCGAGUGGCGAACGGGUGAGUAACACAUCGGAACGUGCCCUGUAGUGGGGGAUAACUAGUCGAAAGAUUAGCUAAUACCGCAUACGACCUGAGGGUGAAAGUGGGGGACCGCAAGGCCUCAUGCUAUAGGAGCGGCCGAUGUCUGAUUAGCUAGUUGGUGAGGUAAAAGCUCACCAAGGCGACGAUCAGUAGCUGGUCUGAGAGGACGACCAGCCACACUGGGACUGAGACACGGCCCAGACUCCUACGGGAGGCAGCAGUGGGGAAUUUUGGACAAUGGGCGCAAGCCUGAUCCAGCCAUGCCGCGUGCAGGAUGAAGGCCUUCGGGUUGUAAACUGCUUUUGUACGGAACGAAACGGCUCUUUCUAAUAAAGAGGGCUAAUGACGGUACCGUAAGAAUAAGCACCGGCUAACUACGUGCCAGCCGCCGCCGUAAAAC
rnacentral:rRNA from 1 species